GGAAAUCCCUGGGAGGUAACAGAGUUCUUCAAGGAGGGGUCAGGGAGGACGUUGACAGUGAACCAAACCUCCUGUAUUCGUUUGCAACGUGUUUCAGUAACAUUGGAAAGAAGAAGCAGUAGAGAGAAAAUGAAAAGGCAAAAUACCAUACUCGAGUCACAAAUUUCACCUGAAAAAAAGCACAGAUGAUUACAGAAACUCUGAAGCCUAGUUCAUUCACUUCCACCAGAAAUGACAGAUUCUUUGAACCUAGAAUUCCCUACAAAACUUGGAGCUACCAAGGUAAAAACCCAGAGACAUUGGUCUUUCAAUCUGCAACUAAAGAAUAAAGAUCAAUGAAAUAGAUUAGUCUUAUGGUUUGUUCAUUGUGCUAAUACCUUUCAAAACAAAACAGAAGAGACUUCAGUGACUCUGCAUGCUUUGUUCCUGGCGGACUGUACCACCCAUUCUCAUACACCUGCAUGGACAUAUGAUCCAAGGUGGGUCAAACAGUAUGGACAAUAGGAAAGAGGAAUCUUUCAUGUGUGGAUAUUGGGAGCAAGAAAUUCUCUUCUAGGAGUGAUGUGUGUUCUUCAUAUGAAUGACUUGAAAAUAACCAGCAUUUUGCAGCA